GUGGAGUUGAUGGAACACUUCCUCCAUUAUUUCGCGAUGCACACCAUAUUCCCCUCUCUCAAUGCAAAGCUUGAAGAGGGUUUCCUGCUUCCUCUGCCAAGGGACAUCAGCCUGAACAACUGGAACCUCCAAGUCCAUAAGAACUUCUUGCUCAUAGGGGCGGACUUAAAUCAGAUUGUCGAUCAACUGUUGGCUGGAGAAGUGGAAGCCACCACCACUGGGUCUAGCCUGCUCUUGUGAAGCCGAGGCUGUGGCCACUGACCCCUCUCCAACACUCCAUCCUCAUGGAUCCUAAUCACCAGGGAAGCCUGAGACAAGCCUGACCAUGGGACACCCUCCCCACUACCUUCUGCUUCCUCCUUCCUGCACCGCCAUAUACCUUCUUUGCAGCUGCCCUCAGCUUUACUCUGGGCAAUUCAAUUGAUUUCUCACUUUGCUACUAGAAGAAAACACAUGAGCAAAGCUAUCUUGUAGCCCAAAGUAACUUACCCAAUAAUGUAGUAGAACUAAGUUGUCCCGUCAUUUGAUGCCAUGAGAGCAAGAAUAGGACCCAAAAAAGCAACA